UACUUAGCCUAUAGCCUAGGUAGUGAGAUUAGAGGCUAACCUAAAAAUAUAGGCAGACCUAUGUUAUCAUCAUUAAUAUUAGAUGCCAUUAUGCAUGCUAUGUCAGAACUAUUGAUAUUUUAUAAUUAGGUCAAUUCGUAUUGUUUUUAUUUUUAUUUUAUUUUUUUUUUUUUUCAAUAUUCUAGUAUGUUGAAAACAUAUUAGAAGAUAGUAGGCAGAAAAGUGAGGAAGGUGAAAGCACACUGCCAGUACCAACAAUUGAAAAUGCAUCAUCUCAUUUAGCCUCGUUUGUUAAAGAAUAUCAGCAGAGCAGAAACUUGCAGGAUAAUUCAAAAACAUCCACUACAAAGUGCAGAAAAAAAGGGACAAAGUCUAAACGCUCAAUGCGUGUGCAAGUUGGCUCAAAAAUGUGUACCAAAGAAACUCAAACUGACCCCCAAAUCACUGGAGUUGAUUUGCCUUUAACAGAGGUACCACCAAGUGGUAACUCAAUUUUUGAAGAACCAAUCACUGCAAUACCAGUAGGCACAUCAACUCCCAAUCAAAGCGAAGACGAGUCUUCACCUUGUGAGAGUGAUCAUCAUGUUAGCAUCUUUGAUAGAACUUUCAAUCCAGACAACACAUAUCUUUCAUCAUCAUUAAUGUAAGUUAACAAGGAAUUACAAAUAGUAGUUCUAGGAAUUAUUGUCAUGUAUUUACUGUAUAUUAUUACAACAAUGUACAGUAUACAUAGCAUUAAACUACAGCCUGCAGUAUAUUUUAAAAAGAAU